GACGAACGCUGGCGGCGUGCUUAACACAUGCAAGUCGAACGGAAAGGCCCUAGCUUGCUGGGGUACUCGAGUGGCGAACGGGUGAGUAACAUGUGGGUGAUCUGCCCUGCACUCUGGGAUAAGCCUGGGAAACUGGGUCUAAUACCGGAUAGGCCUGUGCUUUAGUGUGUGCGGUGGAAAGUUUUUCGGUGCAGGAUGAGCGCGCGGCCUAUCAGCUUGUUGGUGGGGUAAUGGCCUACCAAGGCGGCGACGGGUAGCCGGCCUGAGAGGGUGUACGGCCACAUUGGGACUGAGACACGGCCCAGACUCCUACGGGAGGCAGCAGGGGGGAAUAUUGCACGAUGGGCGCAAGCCUGAUGCAGCGACGCCGCGUGGGGGAUGACGGCCUUCGGGUUGUAAGCCCCUUUCGGCAGGGACGAAGCUUUUGUGACGGUACCUGCAUAAGAAGCACCGGCUAACUACGUG
rnacentral:rRNA from 1 species